UUGUCAAACAAGUUUGGCAACACGUAAAAGUAAACGAAUUGAAACUCAUUUUCAUUUUCAUAAUUCGCAGUUGUUUUGCAAUAAGAACAAAGAUUAGAGAUUUCAGAAACUAAACAAUUUCGAAAAAAUGUAUGUUCAACUGUUACUUUUGGUAUUUUGUUUGAUUGCCAUCACGAAGGUGGAAGCAUCACAAGGGUACGAUUUUGGCGAUUUCCUAGCAACUAUGUUAGGAAUUGGUAUCGCAGUGACUGGUAUUCUAGCAUGCUUAGGAAAUUACGCUAGGCAAAAGGCAAGGAACGAAUUUAUAUAAGUGUUUAAUUAUAGUUUCUUCUAAGUUGUAACCACAAGGAAAUAAAGAUGAUAACUUAUUUAUAAUGAAUAUAACAUAGCACCAAAGGAGAUGAUUAUUUGCAAGUUGAAGUGAUAGAUUGUUUUUGCAGAAAACAUUAACAUCAUGUACUUGUAACUUAAUCAGUGAUUAUAUUGUUAUCUAUUGUA